rnacentral:lncRNA from 10 species
GCGGCCGCAGGUAGCUGAGCUGGAGCUAGCACAAGAGGCCAACCUGCAUGGACUGCUUCCACAGAUCCCUUGUCCUCUGACUUACAGUUGAAUUCACCAAAUAGAAGACAUUGGAAAUGAGACCCGAGGGUUGGAGGAGGAGGAAGCCUGCAAUGUGAACACGAUGGCUGGAGCUCCGGCAGCCAUUCUGGACCAGGAGGUAGCCUUGAAGAUGGAAGCCACAUGUUGGGAUGGUGAAUCCAAAAGAUGAGGAGCCUGUAUCCCCUGUGACACCAGAACUGCCAUACCAGCCCUGGGUUCCUCCAUCUAUACUGCCUUCAUAUGGUAAAGAAAUAUUCUUGGAUCUUGUUAGGUGUCUGUUGCAGCCAAACACAAUCCCAACUGAUAUUCACUGUAAAUGAUUCCAUGGCUCCCUGUAGUACUUCUACAAAGCAUCUAUCACAAUUGUAAUUAAUAAAAUAAUUAUGCAAUUACUGGUUUAAUGCCUAA